rnacentral:rRNA from 1 species
CGGACUGAGUGGCGGACGGGUGAGUAACGCGUGGGUAACCUGCCUCAUACAGGGGGAUAACAGUUAGAAAUGACUGCUAAUACCGCAUAAGACCACAGUACCGCAUGGUACAGGGGUAAAAACUCCGGUGGUAUGAGAUGGACCCGCGUCUGAUUAGGUAGUUGGUGGGGUAACGGCCUACCAAGCCGACGAUCGGUAGCCGGACUGAGAGGUUGAACGGCCACAUUGGGACUGAGACACGGCCCAG